UGGGGAAUAUUGGACAAUGGGGGCAACCCUGAUCCAGCCAUGCCGCGUGAGUGAUGAAGGCCUUAGGGUUGUAAAGCUCUUUCGUCAGGGAAGAUAAUGACGGUACCUGAAGAAGAAGCCCCGGCUAACUUCGUGCCAGCAGCCGCGGUAAUACGAAGGGGGCUAGCGUUGUUCGGAAUUACUGGGCGUAAAGCGCACGUAGGCGGACAUUUAAGUCAGGGGUGAAAUCCCAGGGCUCAACCCUGGAACUGCCUUUGAUACUGGGUGUCUUGAGUACGAGAGAGGUGAGUGGAAUUCCGAGUGUAGAGGUGAAAUUCGUAGAUAUUCGGAAGAACACCAGUGGCGAAGGCGGCUCACUGGCUCGUAACUGACGCUGAGGUGCGAAAGCGUGGGGAGCAAA
rnacentral:rRNA from 1 species